rnacentral:rRNA from 1 species
CUACGGGGGGCUCCAGUGGGGAAUAUUGGACAAUGGGGGAAACCCUGAUCCAGCAAUGCCGCGUGUGUGAAGAAGGCCUGCGGGUUGUAAAGCACUUUCGGUUGGGAGGACUGCUUCUAGCACUAAUAUUGUUGGAAGUUGACGUUACCUUCAGAAGAAGCACCGGCUAGCUCCGUGCCAGCAGCCGCGGUAAUACGGGAGGGUGCAAGCGUUAAUCGGAAUUACUGGGCGUAAAGCGCGCGUAGGCGGCUAGAUCAGUCGGGUGUGAAAGCCCCGGGCUUAACCUGGGAACUGCAUCCGAUACUGUCUAGCUUGAGUACAGGAGAGGAGAGUGUAAUUCCACAUGUAGCGGUGAAAUGCGUAGAUAUGUGGAGGAACACCAAUGGCGAAGGCAGCUCUCUGGCCUGAUACUGACGCUGAGGUGCGAAAGCGUGGGGAGCAAACAGGAUUAGAUACCCGUGUAGUC